GGGAAGGAAGUGCAGUUAGAAUAGGAAAACCCAACUGGUACUUGGAGUAGUGACAGUCUCAGAACCAAGGGAGGAUCUGGAACUCAAAGGCCAGUGGGGUUACCAUGAGACCAAGAGGAUAAAGAUGAGAAUUACCUGGGAUGAUUAACAAACAGAGAAUCAGAGGUCUUUUGCAGUGAUCAUUUGCUUCUCUGCCGAGUUACAUCUGGAAGGAAUGGGUUAGCUUUCUCUUGUGCAUUCUUCAUUAAUACAAUUUGAAAAAAAAAACAGGUGCUAAAACAAAUUGGAAAACAAUGUACACACAACUAACAGUCUUGGAGAAAAAGAUUUCACGCUGUUUCUUGCUAACAUGUUCUGAUACUCAAUGGCACUUGUUACCCGGAUUUCUUUUUAAAAUCAUUAUCUAAAAUUCCCAUUGCUUUCAUUUAAGCUGAUUUUUUUUCUAGCUUCCUUUUGUUUAUCCUCAGGGGACAUGAAGAACAUAUGGUAACUAUCUCUCAAGUAAUAAUAUUCGUAUUUUUUUGAAAUAGGUAAUACACAAGAUUUUUUUUUUCUUUCUAGCUUACCAUUCUUCAGGCUAAAUAACACUAACUAGUUUAUCUUUUUUAUGGGCAUUUCUUCCCAGGCCAGUGGUUUAGACUGAGUCAAAUUUAUCUUCUAGGAUUUGGAGGAAAUUUAUAUCGAAGUCACUGGUUUGUAUUGAUGAGCAACAUUGGAGUCAAAUUUGCCUACUAGGUAGAAAUUCAAGAAUGAAAUGAUGAUGGCACCUUUUGGGAAUAAUUCUCUGUGCCUCUUCUGUAUCCUCAGAGCACUUAUCAAAACUAAUUGGUACACAGUAAAUUUUUCAAAAAAUAAAACUGUGGUCAAAGGGGAAGAAGUGUAGCUUUUAUCUUGUAUUCUCAAUGACUGCCAUAUAUCAGCUCAUUAUAUGUUUGAAUGAAAGCAAAAAUUAAAAAAUGUGCACUAAAAUGUAAGAUUAGGAAUAUGAUAUUUUUAAAGUUGUUAAAAGUAAAGGCUAGUCUUUUGGGCUCUUUCUUAGGAAUAUGAUAUUUUAUUUAUUUUAAUAUAUUCAGAAAUACAAGUAUUAUAAGCUCUGAGAUUGGUAGGAAUGAAUGUUAAUGAAUGUUGCCUCUACUUCAUCUCUAGAAUCUAUCUGCCAUCAUUUUUCAUGGCAGUCUCAUUAAAGAUUAUUGAAGGAGUAUGGGUCUCAAUUCAUCAACAAGUAUCUGUUAGAAGUCAAUCAAGAUUUUGUCACUGUGUUCCAGUGAGAAGUUAAGUAAACCCCAAAUCACAUAUUAUUAAAGUUUAUAAGGCUUCUGAUUUAUCUCAAAGCAGAUAUUCUCUUGGUACCAUAACAAGAAUGAAUGUUUACAUAGGUAGGCCUGACCUUGUGCUAGGCAGUAUUCUAGCACUUUCUGUAUAAUUAUAUACAUUAUAUUUUAUACUUAACCCAUUGAAGUGGAUGCUAUUAGUGUCUUUCUUUCUUUUUUUUUAUUAUUAUUAUUAGUGUCUUUCUUUUACAGAUGAGGAAAUUGAUGAGAUUUGCCUAAGAUCAUAUAGCUAGUAAGCAACCGAGCUAGAAUUUUAACCUGAGUCAUCUGGCUCCAAAUCCUAUAUACUUAAUCAUUAUUACUCCAUGAGAGAUGCCUUCCAUAUUCUUUUUGAGUAAACUGAGAAAUGAGAAGUGUACUACCUUAUGCUUGAAAAAUUCUUCUUCCUGUUGAAAUGUAAUCUUUCUUGCCAUACCCCUGCUUUGCUGGUUGAAUUUCACUCCCUGGAGAAAGAUGGAAGGGUCUCUUCUCAGACGUUGAAGACAGCUUUCAAACUUCUCCAAAAAUCUUCUCAAGAUUCAUAUCAUUCUCUCUUUUAACUGCCCUAUACGACAUUGGUUUUAUUUUGCUUUGUGAAAUUUCCCUUAUUCUAGAAAGGAUAUUAGAUGGUUCACAAAAAUAUACACAAUAGAUAAUUGAGAUAAUAUAUAUUUGCAAGUUUUGUGGCAUAGGUAGGUUUGACAAGCAUGCCUUUUGUGUCUGUAUUCAAGCUCCAGAUAAACAAAUUAGGACUGUAGAGAGUACAAAUCCCUGCAACAUGUGUCCCUAGACACUCACCCCAGGACUUCUCAAACAUCCAGGCUACUUCUUACUUAUAAUGUUGUUGACUGAUGUGUUUAUAUCUAGACUUCCAUGGGCAGCGCUCUUUUUCUCCAGGAUCUAUUCACCCGUUAACCUGGGAAGACAGCAUUGUAUAAUGAUACAGAAGUGGAUUUUGCCCUCAAAAUAUAUUAAAGCUUGACAAUAUUGGGAAAUUUACUUAAUCUCUGAGCUUUUAGUCUCAUUUUCUAGAUGGGAUAAAAAUGGACAUUUUGUCUCUUUUUAAGGAUAGUUUUGAGGAUUAAAUAUCAUACACAGGUAAUAUCCUUAGCACAUAGUGGAUGCUAUGUGCUAAGGAUAUUACAACUACAUGUAUUAUGAUUACAGCUUCACGUCAAGAAAGCUUUGUGUGGCCCAUGGAGUCUGUUUAAGUGUAUAUUUAACAAUUAGCUUUCUGGAAAAAAAGAAAAAAAAGAAAAGCUUUAGUUUAUGUAUUUAUUGAUUUCUGGGGUAAAAGUACCCCCAGCAAAGCUGCAUCUCUGAACACAGAAUUGGGAAGCAAUAUGGACAAUCCAACAGCUCUUAGAAGCCAGUGCAAGCUUGAUCCAGCGUGUCACUAUGUGUACCCAUGCUCCACUCACUCUCAGCCACAAGGAAGAUUUACAGCACUCAUAAAUAAGUA
rnacentral:lncRNA from 1 species